rnacentral:misc_RNA from 1 species
GAUGAAGAACGUAGCGAAAUGCGAUAAGUAAUUUGAAUUGCAGAAUUCAGUGAAUCAUCGAAUCUUUGAACGCACAUUGCGCCCCCUGGUAUUCCGGGGGGCAUGCCUGUUCGAGCGUCAUUACAACCCUCAAGCUCUGCUUGGUGUUGGGCCCCGCCGCCCCGGCGGGCCCUAAAAUCAGUGGCGGUGCCGUCCGGCUCCGAGCGUAGUAAUUCUUCUCGCUCUGGAGGUCCGGGUGUGUGCUCGCCAGCAACCCCCAAUUUUUUUCAGGUUGACCUCGGAUCAGGUAGGGAUACCCGCUGAACUUAAGCAUAUCAAUAAGCGGAGGA